rnacentral:lncRNA from 1 species
AUUAGGCGACAAGAGUGAGCAAAAGGUUUGCAAGUUUGGGGGAACAACAUGUUUCAAUCCAGGCUCCUUUUCAACUGAUAGCACCUUCGUAGCUUAUCGACCUUCCACUCAAGAAGUCGAACUCUCUGGUCUCUGAUUCUCUUUUCAGUCGAGCCUGAGCUUUAAAAGAUUAAAGGAAGAGUGAACAAAAAAACAUACUUCCAUGUACUCUUCUAUGCCUCUGUUGUAGUCGUAGGAGAUGUCUUUGAUUUUACCCAGAUUUGGUCAUAAUUUAUGGAUAGUUUAAUUUAAUCAUCAUCAAAAAGUUAAGAUCUAUCAAGUUUACAGUUCUGAAACACCUGUGAGUAUAUGUGAGUCUAGCACCCUUUAUCCCAUAUAACUUAUAUAUGACCUUCUUAUUUUAGUUAUUAUUUACUGCACUACAUCCUUUGUUGUUUAGCUUGACGUUGAGAACGGAAGUCUAUUGUACAAUAUUAGAACCUUGUGGAUUUGAUUCAACCCUUAAGUUCUCUAGUAAACUUCUUAUUUGAUAGAGUAGUUAAUUUGAACGUAUCAAUUUGAAGCUAACAAGAUGAUUAUUCUAACAUAUUUGUGAAUAACCCAAUAAUCAAUGAUUAUCAAUUUGACAUUAAGCUCAUGAAAUAACAAGAUGAUUAUUUAGGCUUGAUCAAUGAAAACACAAUCAAAGAAUGAAUAUAGAUAAAUCCACAUGAAUUCCAAUAAGACUCCUGAAGGAGUUAUUCCCUUCUCUUCCAAUCAUAAAACAAAGAUUAAAAGAAAUUAAAUAGGUUAAAACAUGUUCAAUGAUCUUUUGCAAAUAGGAAAAUUUUGGGACCAAAGUGCCAUUUUUGACCAUUUUAUAUUCAUGGAUACAAAGCCAACCACGUGAUUCUCUGAUCGUGAAGGCAUAACCUACCAUAACAAUAAGUCGGAGAAAAUAAUACCUAUCUUUUCAAAAAAUAAACAGAGGCUAUCACUCUGAAAUAAUAAAAAAUAAAAUAUAUCGGAAAACAUAAACUAAAUCUAAUUUAACAAAGCUCGUGCUGAUAAUGUAUUAUGUCUAAAAAUAUUAAAUAUAUAUUUAUUUGUUUUUGUCUUUUAAUAGAGAGAGUCACAAGAAAAGGAGGAAAUAGUUAAAAAGAGAAAUUUGUGAUUAUCAAUUGUGACUUAUGUUACAGGGCAAAAAAGAGUGGCCUGUUUUUAUGGAGAGCAAGUCAGACAAGAUCAAUCCAACUCAUAUGAAAAGACAAAACUAUAAAAUUGACAUGUGUUAAAUAAUAACGAAAUUGGAAAAGAGGAUAAUGUCAUUGUUGUCAGGGCUGCUGAGGCUUUGUGAUCGUGUAAAACUUUAAAAGCCAAAAAAUUGCCAAUCAAUUCUUUUAGGUUUUAGAAAUCUGUAAAGCCUUGAAAACCUACUUUAAAAAAACUAUUUUUUUUCACUAUUUUCAACGGUCGCUUUUAAAGUUUUAAAGCCUUUUUUUUAUUUUUUUUACAAAAAAAACGUGGGAGACUUUUUUUAUUUGUAUUUUGUUCAUUUUUGACCAAAAUAAAGAAAACAAAAAGUAUAAUAAUUAAUAAAAAAAUUAUCAUUAAUUAGUUAGGUUUUUAACAUGAAGAAAAAGCCAUAACUUACUAUUAUUAGACAUUAGUUUGUUAAAACAUAGAAACUAUCAUAAAAGUAAUUGGAAACAUUUACGAAAGAUUCAAAACAAAAAUAAAAAAUUAAAUUAAUUACUAUUUUAAAAGUAUUUUUUGAGUAUAAAUACAAGAAGAAAACUCAUUUCAUCAAACACACAAAACCAAUAGGCACAACAAUUCCAUUUGAUUUUCUUAUCAACAAUCGGUUACUAUUUUUCAGUUUCAAAAAUAUAUGCUCGGUUAUUUAUGAAAUUCAGCUUAAUUUUUGUUUUUUUUUUUCAGUUUUGUACGGUUCUAAAAAUUUUGAUGUCAAUCAAGCUUUUAAACUUUUUAAAAUAACAGUCACAAUUUUUAAAGUUAAAUUCUCUAUAGCCAUAUUUUUAAAGCCAAAGCUUAAAACGAAAUUCAUCACCAAUCGGAUCCAAGGCGUUCAUGAUAAAGAAUGUCAGACGGAUCAGCCUCGUCGCCCAAAUCAUCAUCUUUAACAUAAACCAUCCGGUUUAGAUCCAUUGAUUUGUCGCUGGAAGGGGCAAUAAUGUUAAUAAUUUAUAUUUAGCAAAAAAAGGAAAAAAGAAAAAGCAAAGGGUUUCAUUUGCACCGAUUAGGGCUUUCAUUUCCCGCCGAUUUCAGGAGAUCCCGCCCAAACCAAACCAAACCAAAACAAAAAGGUUUGUGAGAUUCAGAAAAAGAGAAGCUUGAUCCGAAGAAGAAGAUGAGUAUGAGGAAGAAGAUACAGAAGAAAUUCAAAACCAGAGGUUACAGCCUCAAGAUCGACGCUCUCAACAGCAUUCUCGCCUUCGCCGACCAAUUCCCCGGCGACGAUGAAGGAGAAGCCAUCGAUCUUCUUCUCGACCACCUCCAGAUGGAAAAUCGUAUGUAUGCCCCUCCUCAGAUUACUUCUAUUGAUUCGAUUCGAUACUCAUAUACUAAUUUGGGAUUUGUGCAGUUAAUUCCUCAGUAGUGGAUGCGGAAUCAGUUCAAGGAGUGAUUAAUCUCUUGUUAGGAGCUAAUGAUGCCGCGGAGGAACCUACCUCCAAUGCUUCUUCCUUGGCUUUCAUCGACGCCUUUCUCGUCCCAAAGUAUCGAUAUGAUUCUGUUAAGAAGCAGUUCAUCGAGUAAGCCCCCCCCCCACCCUUCUACUUUGUAAAAAGUUAGUUGAGUUUCUAAAGAUCAAGUACUAGCUUUGAUUACAGGCACACGAGUAGUCUGCCUGUUCACGGUGAGGCUUCUUCCAAGACACAAGUUUACAGGGAACGAUUCAUGUUGCUGUUGCAGAGAGUUUCUCGCGCUGAGCUUUUUUCUAUGCCAGCUUUUGAUGCUGAGAAGUCUCAGUUUGACAACUCUGAGGUUGGUUUUUUAAAAAAUAAUAAUAAUAUGUGUGUUUCUUUUGGUGUUCUUGUGUUAAUGUCAUGUUCUUUCUGAGCAGAUAUCUCCAAUACAGUCUCUAGUGGUUCAAAUCGGAAGGAAAUGGGUGAUGGGUGUGAUAUCACAGUUGGAAGAUGGGCAUUUCUAUUUAGAAGACCUUUCUGCUUCUGUUGAGAUUGAUUUGUCCAAUGCAAUAUCCUUUUUUUUAUAGAAAAGUUGAUAAUAUCAUAUAAUUACAUUUAUUAAGUCAUAGCAAUUGCAGUUUGAGUACUUUUCUUUGACAGUCAGCACAAGAUAACCACAGGCUUUUUCACUGAGAAUACUAUCAUUUUGGCAGAAGGUGAAAUGCAGAAUGGUAUCUUUCAGGUAAAAUGUUCAUUGUGACAUCAAAAUGUUAGUUAUAUUGGUGGGAAUGUAAAACUGAGUCGUGUGUGUGGCUCCUCUCCUCUUUUAAGACCUUUUCCCCCAUGUUUUGGGUAUAGGUUAUUACAUGCGGAUUUCCUCCUUUAGAAGACAGGGAUAAAACACUAAACACACAUUCUGGGUACGACUUCUUCGGAAAUGGCAUGCUAACUAAAGAAGACAGGGUAUGCCAUGAGUCCUUGUUUGUACUUUUGGAUUGAUAAAGCUGUAAAUUCCCAUUUGAUAGUGAAUAUGUUCUUUUGUUUCCGAUCACAGAUUAGACUUGCAGACCUAGAAAGACAAGCAGUAAAUGAAACAUUUGUCAUAUUGUCUGACAUAUGGCUGGAUGACGAAGAGGUAUGUCUGUGUACCAUCUACUGUGCUUUUAGCAUUUUCUAAUAAUAAUGCCUCCCUUUUGCGAUUAAAGAGCAUUGCUUGAACGCCAAAAUGUGUUGUCCGUAGAGAAGGUUCUCGGGAAGCUGGAAAAGGUUCUUGAUGGUUUUGAAAGUGUGGAGGUUGUGCCUUCCCUGUUUGUUUUCAUGGGAAACUUUUCCUCUCACCCAUGCAAUUUAUCCUUUGGUUCUUAUCCACGCCUUAGGUAAGGGGGUUCAUUGUGGUUACAUUCUUCUCAGUUGUUAUCGAGAUAUAUGUUCUUAUAUAUUCUUGAUGACAUGUAUCCAUUUAAUUUUCAGGAAGCAGUUUGGUAAACUUGGGAGAAUGAUUGGAAACCAUCCACGGCUAAAAGAAAGUAGUCGGUUUUUAUUCAUUCCAGGUCCUGAUGACGCAGGUACUAGCAUCUCCAUCACUAUCUAAAUAAAGAUAGGGUCCAUGAGGAAGAGACAUGACUAAUAAGAACUCAUUAUAUCUGACAGGUCCCUCAACAGUCUUGCCAAGAUGCGGUUUACCAAACUCUUUAACGGAAGAGCUUCGAGAUGUUAUUCCCAAUGCGAUAUUUUCAAGCAAUCCAUGCAGGUAAGUUCUAUAUACACUCUAUUGUUGUUGAUCAUUCUGAAUUAUGAGGAAACAUUUGAUUUAUUGGGAUGGACAGAACACAUAAGUUUUUUUAAUCUUUGUUAAAUGCAGAGUAAAGUUCUACAACCAGGAGAUUGUGUUCUUCCGGAAAGACCUUCUGUACCAGAUGCGCCGUUCAUGCUUAAUACCCCCUUCUGCUGAAGAAACUGAUGACCCAUUUCAGCACGUAAUCACAUCUCGCUCCUCCAUUAUCUUACAACUUAUGCUUCUAAAUGUUUUCCGGGAAUAAUCUGAAACUUUGUGAAAUGUGUUGGUUCAGCUUGUCUACACAAUAACUCACCAGAGCCACCUAUGUCCUCUACCUCUCAUGGUGCAACCUAUCAUUUGGAACUACGAUCACUCUCUUCGACUAUACCCAACUCCUCAUACGGUAUACUCUUAAAUCCUCUUCUCCGUUAUAGUUUCUGUUCCGCCUAGUUUGGAAGAGCGAACCAAAGGAUUGUUGUUUUUUUUGAAACAGAUAAUAUUAGGCGACAAGAGUGAGCAAAAGGUUUGCAAGUUUGGGGGAACAACAUGUUUCAAUCCAGGCUCCUUUUCAACUGAUAGCACCUUCGUAGCUUAUCGACCUUCCACUCAAGAAGUCGAACUCUCUGGUCUCUGAUUCUCUUUUCAGUCGAGCCUGAGCUUUAAAAGAUUAAAGGAAGAGUGAACAAAAAAACAUACUUCCAUGUACUCUUCUAUGCCUC